GCACCCGUAGCUCAAUUGGAUUAGAGCACCUGACUACGGAUCAGGAGGUUUGGGGUUCGAAUCCCUUCGGGUGUA
rnacentral:tRNA from 1 species